AUACGUAGGGGGCGAGCGUUGUCCGGAAUGAUUGGGCGUAAAGGGCGCGUAGGCGGCGCGGUAAGUCUGGAGUGAAAGUCCUGUUUUCAAGGUGGGAAUUGCUUUGGAUACUGCCGCGCUUGAGUGCAGGAGAGGUUAUCGGAAUUCCCGGUGUAGCGGUGAAAUGCGUAGAGAUCGGGAGGAACACCAGUGGCGAAGGCGGGUAACUGGACUGCAACUGACGCUGAGGCGCGAAAGUGUGGGGAGCAAACAGGAUUAGAUACCCUGGUAGUCCACACUGUAAACGAUGAAUGCUAGGUGUAAGAGGUAUCGACCCCUUUUGUGCCGGAGUCAACACAAUAAGCAUUCCGCCUGGGGAGUACGGCCGCAAGGUUGAAACUCAAAUGAAUUGACGGGG
rnacentral:rRNA from 1 species